rnacentral:lncRNA from 1 species
GUUAUGAUGCUUUUCCAUAACUUGUGAUGUUGUGCUUUUGUUGGAUUGUGCGCUUUGACGCAACUUCGGAGUGGAGAUUCAUUGAUCUGGUGAUCUUUGAUAUUUCGGGUUGGAUGAACAACCCUAGGCAAGUUCAAACGAGGGGUUUGAGACUUAGCCAUUUGUUGGUAUUCGUUGGUUUACUUAGACUUUCCCCGGGAAACUUCUUUUGGGUGGUUGGUUUUCGGAAAACUUAGAAUGAUUAGACUUUCGAAAACUAGAGACUUUGGGGAGACUUAGACUUUGAGAAAUAAACUCAUAACCUGAAUAAUCCAAUUCAAAAUGUUUUUACUAAACGAAUAAUCAUAGGAGAACUAAAGGAGAAAAUAAUUGCGAAAGACGGGGAAAAGUCGACUUUGUUGUGGGUUUGGAGAGUUUUGGAAUUUGGAAGCCACUAAGGUGAGCUAUGGUGAUGAUUGAAAGUCACCGAGUACUCUAGUACUCUUGGGAGUGUUGUUGGAGCCGUGUAGUAUUGACCGACACAUAGUGCUCUUGUUGUUUGGGCUGUGUUGUAUUGACCGACACUAGACCCUUGUGUAUUCUUGUUGGUGGAGUUGUGUUGUAUUGACCGACACUUACUCCGAGUUGUGUUGUAUUGACCGACACGUUUUGGCUUCUGAAACUCCUCUUUUCAAUCCUCUUUAAGUUCUCCAUCAAUUCCAUGCUUCUUGGCCUUCUUUCUCCUUCAGUUUCUGCUCUCCAAACCUAACCAACAAGUCAAGGAAGAUUCUAGAAGCUCAAAGAGCUCAUUAGCACAAGAGGUCCUUCAUAACACAAAAGAAAAUCAUGCAAGUCCUAAACUUAACUUAAAAUGCAAGAAAACUCCCUAUAAAACUACAAAAUUACCAAAACAAAACAAAGACUCAAGAAAAGAUAAAAAUGCAUGAGAAUGCAUGAAACACUACAUGAGACACAAGAAAAAGACUCAAAACCUACAAGGAAAAACCCUAAAAACAUCAUAUAAACCCGGGUCAUCAGUUCACCUGUGCAUAUCAUGGUGAAUAACGGGAAUGGUUCACCUUGCAUUAAUGAUGAAUAACGGGAAUGGUUCAUCAUAUGGUGAAUAACGGGAAUGGUUCACCAAGGAUGAAUAACGGGAAUGGUUCAUCCAGGAUGAAUAACGGGAAUGGUUCAGCCAUAGUGAAGAACGGGAAUGCUUCACUUGUGGCGAACGGGAACGCGUCACAAAUCCGGAUUCAUGAUUGCAUUUCACGCAUACAUUCAUUCUGACUUGAAUUGUGUGCUGGUUGUUUAUUGAAGCAUUGUUAGAGCCAUAACAUGCUAGGAUUGUUUAUAUAUAUAUAUAUAUAUAUCAACAUAUAUCUAUACCCCAUAUCACAUGUUGAGUGUAUAUCUACUUAUUUCUGUGAGUUGACCCUAGCACCUUGGCUUUGGUUGCAUGUUUGUGUUUGGGCGGUCGGCCUGCUGCCAGAUGUCGAUGGCCGAUUGGUUUUCGAUGGUCUCUCCCUCGGGGGGGGAUCAGGUAUGAGCUCGUCGAUCGUGCUGCCCCCACCUCUUGGGUGAUCGAUGUCCCUGGUCACCGAGCGACGUACAGGGGAAGGGUUGUAACACCCCGAUUUCGGUGGCGUCACUUUAGUAACUCAAAAUAAAAUAAAGCCGAAAAGCAGGUAUUUUUUUUCGUUUUGUUUAAAUAAAAAGACUUGUCGAAAUAAAGACUCAACCCAAUCGCGAUUAACAGCGAUUAAUAUACAAUACAAGCACAGCCCUCGCUGCAACUAAAAACAUCGUCACGAGUGACCUCCAGUGACGGAAAGGUAGUGCCCGUGGGCAAUUAUGUACAAACUAAAACAAAAGGUCAAGUAUUCUGAAUACAGUCCUCCAACGAAAGUAAGUCGGCCCAAAACGGCCUCAAAAGACUUCCUACGUCCGACAAACUCCCUGUGAUCCUCAUGGAAGGGAAUCACACGAAAAGCUAAUAGUCGGGGACCUGCCCUGCCCCAAAAUAAGGAAUGGCAAUCAGAGCUAUGACUCUAACAACCAACUCAAAGACUCUAACCACCCAUAUCUCACACUACUUUCAUCGACCCUUCCUCGAUCAGGCCUGAAGUCCGGGUCCUCGUCGAAAGCUUCAGUAAUAGUCAUUACGCUCCUGGUCCUCCUCGAGUGACGAGUCAUCACGAAUCGGCUGACGGACGCCUGGCAGCAGGCCGACCGCCCAAACACAAACAUACAAACAAAGCCAAGGCGCUAGGGUCAACUUACAGAAUACAAUAGAUAUACAACCAACAUGCGAUAAAGGGGGUAUAUAUAUGUUGUAUAUAUACAUAUAAGUUAUGCGUUGCCUACCCUAAGGUAUAUACAUGACAUGUUAUCAAAUCUCUUACACAAUUCUAUCAUCAAAACACAUAACGAUGUUUAUCAACAUCAAAUCAUCAAGUCUCAAUAAUUAUAGUUAGAGUGCAUGAUAUGUCAUACAACGGUAAUCAUAAUAAGAUGCAUGGUGUGCCAAUGCAGAAUAUGCUGACACAAACCCGAAUAACGUCACUCUGCUUGGCGACGGGACAAACCAAUGGUAUUGCCACUUAAAGGCUGGGCACCUCGAGACGGUCGUAACACUGGCCUCGUGUUUAACCAUUUCUGCUCGGGCGUCGCUUAUCACCUUUGGCUAUAGUCAAGACGAUCCAACUCUACAUGGUUCGACCAUUUCUGCUUGCUAUGCCGGACAUCAACAGGCACGAUACAACUCUACAUGGAUGAUCGUUACCUCCUGUUGUGCCAGGUAUAGUCAGGACCGAUUCAACUCUACACGGCUGAUCGUUGCUUCCUGCUAUACCGAAGUACUCCACUUGGCACUUCAUCGCGUGUAUGCAUGGGUGCAAUAUGGUUAUCUAAACAACGAUUCGUCCUCACAGGUAAAAUUGGUUCAUUGACCAAAGGCAUCUACAACGAGAAACCUAGGCUAUAGUCAAGUCGGUUGUGACCCCACGGGUUUAACCAUUCUGCUUGCUACGCCAGACAUCAACAGACACGAUACAACUCUACACGGCUGACCGUCACUACCUGUUGUGCCAAGUGUACUCUACUAGGUACCUUACUAACGCCCAGACCCUUGGCUAAAGCCCGUCUUCAAAUUCUUCCCCAUAAAAUGAGUUCCCUUAAAACAAUAGUUCUCUUAUUAGGUAAAAUGUUCCAUCGUGAAUUAGUCCAUUAUGUCGUUAAUUCCAAAGUUCAGUUUUUCAUUUCAAACACCUUUCAAAAUAAAGUUCCCAAAGCUAGAAUCACCGACCCAUUCCCGUUUUCCAACUCACUUUCAUUCCUAAGUCUUUUCCGUUGAAUCAUCGUCAUUAAUUAAAAACAUUAUAUUCUUAAUAAAUAUAUUAUGGAUUUAUUUACAUAAAACAGAUUAUGAUUAUUUUCAGUGCAAAACUCUAUAAGUUCAAAGUUUCCAUCAAACCCAAACAACUCCCCGAGAAAACACUAGAUCCCCUAGAACAAUGAAGGUUCGAACCUUGGUCCGACCUAACAAACGUUCCCAAAACAAACCCGUCCUUGUCAUGACGAAGGUAAGUGUAUUCUACACUCCAAAAGUGGCAUCAAAAUGCACGAAUAUAGUCAGCACAAUUUAAUCAUAAACGCAAAUACAUCAAGCUCUAUCGAGCGAUGAAUCAAUAUGGCAGUGUUGUAAACAUAACCUUGUCAUAUCCACUAGAAAGCGAUAAGACAGAAACCAGUAAACGGCCGAAGCCUCUCAGAAAACGGAGACACACGUCUCAUAUAAGUUCACCCGGCCGAAGCCUCCAAAAAACAUUUUCCAAUUCAAAGCGAUAAACAAUAUCCAAGCAAUAUUCAAUAUCAAGCAAUACUCAAGUCGAAGUUAUCGACGCCUACAAUACAAAUAGCUAGUAAGUAAGUUGCCCUAACCUCGAGUUGUUCUAGUCUCGCGGUGCAGGUCUCGCUCACAAGCUUGCUCAGUCGAUCCCAAGGUUUCCACAAACAAACCUUAGAGCAAACAAAUCAAAAAUCAAUCAAAUUAAGUCGAUACAGUCGAAACAAUCCUAACUAACGUUCGACAAAGCUCAAGAAGCUUCAGAGUACAACAUUUAGGCACGAAUGGAAGGGCUUUCCCCGAAUGGAUGAGUUUUGACUCGAUUCAAGUUUUGUACAAAAACACUUUAUUCGCUAAAACGUGCAUAACUCGAGCUACAGAACUCAGAAUGACACAAAACCGGCGCUAAAAUUUUGACAAUUGAAAGAGCUACGCAAUGGCUCAGGUCAUAGAGACUGAAAAAUUAUUUUUGGACACGGUACCCAAUCAAAAAGGUUUCGGCCACUAUAGAAAAUAGGGUUUUCGAACUUUUUCUUCGAUCUAAAUCAAUUCCUAGGUAUUCUUAGGCGAUAUCUAGGCCAGGGAAACUCUCAGAAAAAUUAUCGGGUCGAAAACUGUCGCAGGGGUAUUUUGGUCAUUAUUUUUAGCUCAGAAACUCAAAAUCAGAAUUUCGAAAAACAAAUUCGAUGGGGUCGAUCCUAACGACAUUUAUAACAACUAAUCCUACUAAAGCUAAGCUAAUUCGUGAGUUUUUAGCUUAAAGAACGAAACUUUGCCCAAAAUGGGUAUUUCUCACAGAAAUCGAUUCCGGCAGCAUUCCGGCGACAUUACGGAAAAACUAAUCCGACAGAAGUGCUCUUGGGCACGUAGGGAAGAUGUUUAGACAGAGAAAUCAAGCUAUUUGGACAAUUUUACAAAAAGCUCCAAACUUUGAGCUCAGAAAAACAUAGAAAAAGUCGACAGAUCUGACGAUCAGAAGUGAGGGAUAGUAACUAUACCUCGAUGUCUUCGAUUAGCAACGAACGGUGAAGCAAUCGGGCAAGAAACGGCGAAAAUCAACUUCUCCUCUCCUCCUCUCAAGCUCUCGGCCACUCUCUCUCAAAGGUGAGAAUUUUUUUUUUUUUUUUCAUUUUCCACCUAUUUAUAGGAUUUGGAAAAUGCGGAAAAAUGAUUAUUUCGCGAUUCCGAUUUUUCCUACUGAUUCCAACGUAUUUUAGACACGAUAUUCUUCCCGCUGAAUCUUCUAAUUCUUCAAAGAAAUAUCAGUAUGAUUUUUGGUUUUCGAGGCUUGUUUUUAAUGCUUACCGGCAUUAAAAAUGCACUUUAUGCACUUUAUGAUAUUGACCUCGGAUGCAGAAACUUCCUUCUGAAGAAAGAUUUGGAACGUCGAUUAGAGUGGGCGUGCGUGGAUGAAAUCUUUAUUUGAAGCUCCGAAUAGAAAAAGUCUUCAUCGUCCGUCGAUUUUAGGGUUUUUGAACUAUCAGGGAUUCCGUUUCGGCAAACUUCCGAGAAUUGGAAUUUGACGUUCGUACAUUCCAGGGAUUUGCAUCGAAAUACUUGUUUAUAGACGAAUAAGAGAAAUUCUAACAUUUCUCUGAAGAUUUUUGGAAUUAGUUUCCAUCGCGUCCUAAAGUGUAAAUUAGCUAUUUACUAGUGUCUUUGACCUAGGCUUAGGCGAAUAUUAAUCGUGCUAUAACUCUUAUCGGUUUUGAUACAAUCCUUGAACUUUUCCUGAACCUUCUCCUUCAUAAAUUUAUUUCAUCCAAUAAACUCUUGUUCAGGUUUCCCUUCACGAUACAUCGAACUUAUUCGUUAAUAAGGAAUUCACUAAUUUAUUUUAAGCUUAAAAUCUUGGGUCUCACAAGGGUCAUGGAGGACCGGACGGAUGAGCGAGGACGCCUGACGAGAGGAGUGCUACGGCGUAUGGAGCUGAGUUUUGACUUGCCGCCCUCAGUUCACUGUGGACCAGGCACUGGUCAUGCACCACCUGCACCACCUCCGACUUCACCUUCUGUUGAGGAGGACCCGGCGGAGACCGAGCCUGCUGUUGCUGCACCUGUUGCGCCACCUCUUGCUACUGCCAUCAAUCCUACCGACGUGGCGUCGUUCUCUAUGCUUGUGCGGCCGAAGAGGGAGUCUGUCGUCCCAUCUGCCUCACGUCUCUUUUCUUUCUCUUCACCGCACGGCUACCGUGUGGACCCCUUGAUGAGGGUGGUGGAGGAGGAUGUUCUUACAGGAGAGGUGGAUGUGGAGACCGGCUCGACUAGGGCGGUGCGCAGGACAGUUAGGAGGGAGGUCGUUGACUUGGACACCGAGAUGGUUACGGUGGAUUCCGAUUCUGACUCCGAGAGCAGUGGGGAGAGCUACUCGCCGAGCAGCGACGAGGAGGAGGAGGAGUUAUGAGCUGAGUUGGGAGGGUAGGUUAGGACUAGCGUCAUUUUUUUGUGUAGACCUCUGAUCGCCAGUCUUUUUUUGGGACAGGGUAGGUUCCGAUGUGUGGCUUUUUGUGUGGUUCUUUUGAGGAGGAUCACAGAGAGUCUGUCGGAGUAUAGGAGUCUUUCUUCAGGCCAUUUUUGGGUGCCGACUUUCUCUGGAUAACUGUAUAUUGGAUACAUUUACUUACAGUGCUGGUUUUGUAUAUUUUUGCCUGCGGGCAUACUACUUGGAGUCACUGCGAGUGCGCGUGACAUGGAGUGCAGCUGAGGCUGUACAUGUGUAUAUAUUGUAUAUCGGUUAGUUUAGUUGUUGGGUUUUGUCUUUAUUUCCUUUAUCGCUUUUAUUUAAAGGAAUCAAUCGAAAAAAAAAAUUACCUGUUUUCCGCGUGAAGUUUAUUUUUGGUUACUAAAGUGACACCUGGAAAUCGGGGUGUUACAUUGUGGUAUCAGAGCUUAGUCGAGUCUUUUGGAAGUCUUUGGGGAAUAGGUCUUCUGUGCUAGGUUGUGUGACUCUGCAAAGAGUGAAAAUUGAUUGUCUGCAGAACGAUUUUUCGUUCUAAUUGAUUGUAUUAUUAUUACUUAACUAUAUGAAAUAGUUUUGGUACUCUCGUACGAUUAGGACUAACAGUUUUCUUGGGGGUAACAGACGAUGGUGAACACGAAUAAGCUAGCAGAGAUGAUGGCCACUAUGGCCCAGGCAAUGACUGUAAGACCCAAGUUUUUAAGCUUAGAAUAAGUGGAAGAGAUUUCCAUUUACGAUUAGGCUUGACGUAUCGUGAAGGAAAAACCUGAACAAGAGUUUAUCGAAAGGAAUAAAUUUAUGAAGGAGAAAGUUCAGGAAAAGUCUAAGGAUUUCAUCAAAGUCGAUAAAAGGUAUAGCACGAUCGAUAUACGCUUAAACCUAGGGCAGAAACCCUAGUAAAUAGCUAGUUUUCACUUAAAGGCACGAUGGAAGCUAAUUCCAAAAAAAAAAAUCUUCAGAGAAAUGUUAGAACUUCUCUUAAUCCUUAUAUGACAAUCGUUUCAAGGCGAAAUCCUUGAAUCUACGAACGUCCGAUUCCAAUCCUCGGAAGUUUGCCGAAACUAGAACCCUGAUAGUUCAAGAACCCUAGAAUCAACCGAUGAUGAAGAAUUUUUCUAUUCGGAGCUUCAAAUGAAGAUUCCACACUCGUACACCCAUUUUUCUUGAUGUUUUCAAUCUUUCUUCAGAAGGAAGUUUUCUAUUCCGGCAUCCACUGCAAAAAGUAACUUAUCGGGUAAAAUAGUUUUACACCGACUUUGUAUUAGUCACCUAAAAUACAAGGAGACCUCUUUUUAGUUUUGGAAUUAUGUCGCCAAAACCUAUCUUAGAAUUCACGGAGAACGAAGCCGGAAAAAAUCUGAAUCGCGAAACUUUCAUUUUCCCGCGUUUUUCAUCCUCUAUAUUGCAAGCCUCGAAAACCAAAAAUCAUACUGAUAUUUCUUUGAAGAAUUAGAAGAUUCAGCGGGGAGAAUAUCGUGUCUAGAAUACGUUGGAAUCAGUAGGAAGAAUCGGAAAUCACUCUCAUAUUUUUAUCUUAACUCUAUGAGCUAAAUCCUCCGAUAUCUAAACAAAUCUGUACCGGUUUACAAAAUAUCUAUUCAUCUUUAUCCAAUCUUUGAUAAAUAUCUAUUCAUCUUUAUCCAAUCUUUGAUAAAUAUCUAUUCAUCUUUAUCCAAUCUUUGAUAAAUAUCUAUUCAUCCUUAUCCAAUCUUUACAAAAUAUCUUCCAUUUGAUUCACUAUAUAUAGGUUGUUGUAGCUUGAAAAAUGAAAAACAAAAAACCUCACAAACACACACACACAACCCGCGGCUUGGAGAGAAGAAGGAGGAGGAGAUCUUUUCGCCGAUUCUUGUCUGAUCGUCCCAUAGUUCGUUGCUACGAGUAGGCCUCAAGGUACUGACGCUUUUCCUUACUUCUGAUCGUAAAUUCUGUAGCUUUUCUCUAUACUUUUAUGUGCUCUUAGUUUUGAGGUUUUUGCAAAACUAUCUAGAUAACUUCAUCUUUUUAUCUAAACUUAUUCCUUGCGUGCCCCUGAGCAUGUUUAGCGGAUUACAUUUCGCCGAUUCUCGCCGAAUUGCCGCCGAGUUUCAAUUCUGCUCAUAAUACCCAUUUUUGGCUAAAGUUCCAACCUUUGGGCUUAAAACCCUCGACUGAGCUUAGCGUUAGUAAGAUUAGUCGUCAUAAUCGUCGUUAGUAUCAACCCCAUCUAAUUUGUUUUUCGAAACUCUGAUUUUGAAAUUCUGAGCUGAAAAUAAUGACCAAAAUACCCCUGCGACAGUUUUCGAUCCGAUAAUUUUUCCGAGUUUAGAAUACCCUUAGUUACGACUAAUGAUAACCUAGGAACCAAGUUUGAUCGAAGAAAAAUCGACACACACAAUUACCAUGUGUGGCCGAGAGCUACCCUAGGAGGAGGAAGAAAAUUCUUUUUCGAAAACUUGUCCUUUCGCGCUAGAUUAUCGUACCUCGGAGUAUAUGCUACUUCGUGUAACCUUAGUGAGUAUUGAUUGCUGAGUUUCGGAUAGAUUUUGAUGGAAUUCUGUGGGUUUUACUCUAAGGUUCUUUUGAGGAAUUUCCUGAAGAACAAGGAGCUGAUUGUGAAGGAGCGUUUGAAGAGAACCCUGGAGAAUCUACAAGUGAGGGCUACUCACUGAACUAUUAGCUAAUGCUUUAGGUGUCGACAUAUUCGACUUGAUUUACUGUUUAUGCACUUAUUUGUGUUUGACUGGGAAAUGUUUUCUGAGGCUUCGGCUGACAAUAUAGAUUAUUCAUCUACUGACUGUUUUUUUGAGUUUUGAAUCAUAUGCUAUGUGCUACAUGGUUAAUCUAGGAUGUGUGAUAUCUGCUAAUUAUGCUAAGUGCUACAUGUUUAAAUUAGGAUAUGUUGAUACAUGAUUUAUGAUUGUUGGACUGUGCUAAUUUAACUAUGCCAUUACACCUAUAUCUGUUAUGCUUCAGAGUGAGGAUAACAGGCAUGUCAUGCCGAUUUUAUUUUGAGAUUUUGGGGAAGUUGAUGGGACGGACCGAGGUUCGUACCCUAUUAUUGUUUUAUGGAUCGAGACCUUCUCAAAGGAAAAUUGAGUUUGAAAAUGAUAUUGGAAAAACCCCAUUUGAAUUCACGUAAGAACUUGGGUUGUUCUGUCUAAGGCAAGAAGGGCUUUUAAUGAGGCAUUGUGCCCGACCAGCUUACCUGGGAACUUCUCGGGCCAUUACUUGGGUUAUGAUGGACCUUUUGUUUUGAGACCUUCUCCAGGGAAUCACUGGAAUUAUAGGAUCUUGGAAACUAAUAGGAUUAGAGACGAAACUUAAACAAUUUCAUAAUGAACCUCCAUAAUGUAUUAAACAACCUCAAAACCCUUAAUAUAAUGAUAAAAGACUCAGACGAAAGUUUAGGUCUUGAACAUUAAAUUUUGAAAAUGAGAAGUGUCGUCGAGUCCAAGAGUUGAGAAAACUAAUAAGUUUCUGAGUAUGUUGAUACUCCUUCGCUCUUUGAGCAGUUUGUUUAGCCAUCCAAGGGAUGAGCCGAGAAGCUUCACUGAGGCGUGAAACCUUGUGAAAGCGUGAAUCUUCACUGAGGCGUGAGACCUUGUGAAAAGCAUGGAUCUUCACUGAGGCGUGAGACCUCGUGAAUAGCAUGAAACUUCAUUGAAGCGUAAGACUUCGUGCAAGUGUGUAAAUUCACUGGGGCGUGAGACCCCGUGAAAGCAUAAAACUUCACUGAAGCGUGAGACUUUGUGAAUGUGUAAGACUCCACUGAAGCGUGAGACUUCGUGAGAGCAUUGAUGACUCGAAGAGUUAUCGUGAGUGUUUGCACUCUUUUUAUGAUUAAUUGUAUUUUGUCGCAGAAUCGACUUUUACCUUAGGGUAUUCUUUUUAGAGACAAAUAAGUUAGUUAGAACACGUGGCGACGUGUCGAGUGAGGUCGGAGACGUUGUUUGGCUAAUCACUUUGCAUUCAUGCACUCAUUUUGAGGUAUUAACACGAGACGGACUUCGGACCUCGGUGGAUUCCAAAAUGGUCAUAAGACCCGGAUUUCCAUAUAAGAACAUUGCGGUGAUUCUUAGUAGCAGACGGAAAUGGCAGACCUUCGGGUUCACUGCUGAUCUGACUACACUUUGUGUGGUGUAAGAGACACGCGAGCGGAAAUGGUCCCACCGUUGCUGGUGCUAGGAUUGACUCGUUAGUGCCCAUCCGUUCCGGAAUGCAUUUGGUUAACCGGCAUUGCAUUUCAUGCAACAUGCAUACUGACUUAUUUGCUGAGUGUGAUUGAUAAUUGUUAAUCUAUUUGACGCAUGCUAAUUGUUAUUAUCGUCUUUUAUAUUCAUUGUGAACUGUACAACCCUAGGAUGCUAUCUAUAACUUAUAAUCCUAAGUGGCUACUCCUUAUCUUUACCUAUUGGAUUUAUUAUUUACAUAAUUCUUUGGAGUUGACCCUCGCGUCUUCUGUGUGUGCUUUGGCGGACUACGCCCUUUGUCAGAUGUCCAUGGCGGACUGGUUCAUGAUGGUUCACCCUUCGGGGGGAACUAGGGUUGAGAUGCUGGAACAGGAGCGCAUCGCGGUUGCGAGAGGAGGACAGGUAGUGUACAUAGACUUGGUCGUUCUGGAUUCAGAUUCAGACGACGAUCAUGCUAGCAUGUAGGUCUUAGUGCUGGUGUGAGCUCCUCGAGAUAGGAUUAGUGUAGGAGUAGAGUCUUAGCUCUGAACAUCAUUUAUUUCCUUGGGGACAGGGUAGUUUCCCGCCUAUAGCUUUUUGUGUGGUUCCUCUACGGGGAUCACAGAGAGUUGGUUGGGCUAGGAGGUCUUGUUUUAGGCCGUUUGGGCCGCCUUAUUCUCAUUUUUGAGGGAUAGUGUUGCGGACACUUGACCUUUCUUUUAGAUUGUACCUUUUUCCUACGGGCGCUACUUUCUGUUACUUCCCGUCACUGGAGGUUUACUCGUGACGUGGUUUGCUACUUACAGCGGGGGCUGUAUUUAUAUUAUACAUUAGUUUUGUUAUCUUUUGUUGGGAGUUUAUUUCUUUCAGCCUUUGGUUCUAUUAUCAAAAAAAAUAUUCACGUUUUUCCGCUUUAAUUUCUUUUUGGUUACUAAAGUGACGCCACCGAAAUCGGGGUGUUACAAUGACUAACCAAGCGAAUGACAAUGCUUUAAGGCGUGCUGCGGAGGAAGCGCGUGAUCAACACCAGCGUCAGAGGGAGGCGACUCUAGAUCAGAACAAAGGGUUGAAUGACUUCAGGAGACAGGAUCCACCUAAGUUUUCGGGAGGUACUGACCCGGACAAAGCGGAUCUUUGGAUAGAAGAAAUUGAGAAGAUCUUUGGAGUGUUACAGACUGCUGAGGGAGCCAAAGUGGGGCUGGCAACCUAUCUGUUGUUGGGAGAUGCUGAGUACUGGUGGAGAGGCGCCAGAGGGAUGAUGGAAGCCAAUCAUAUUGAAGUGAACUGGAACUCUUUUCGAACUGCUUUUCUCGAGAAGUAUUUCCCAGAUAGUGCUCGUGAUGAGCGUGAAUCACAGUUUCUGACUCUUAAACAAGGAAGCAUGACCAUUCCGGAAUAUGCUGCCAAGUUGGAGUCUCUGGCAAAACACUUUCGGUUUUUCCGAGAUCAAGUUGAUGAACCCUACAUGUGCAAGCGAUUUGUGAGGGGAUUGAGACCUGAUAUUGAAGACUCAGUGAGACCGUUGGGGAUCAUGAGAUUCCAGGCAUUGGUUGAGAAGGCAACUGAGGUGGAGAUGAUUAAGAAUCGAAGACUGAACAGGGGGACCGGUGAGGUCGACACCACAGAGUUUUCAAGGAAGAGGAAGGUUUCAAGCAAGGAAGCCAUAUCAACGUCCUGCGGGGAGAGGGUUUAGCCCGGGAUCUUACAAGCCGAUGGCUGCUGCUGCUAAUUCUGAAGGGUCGGGAAGCCGUACCCAAAACCGUGAGGUGACUUGUUUCCGGUGUGGAGGAACCGGGCACUAUGCAAACAAUUGCACGAGACCACCAAGAUGCUACAACUGCAAUAAAUCUGGGCAUCUGGCUAUGGAUUGCAAGGCACCAAAGGUUGAACCGUCUGUGAAUGUUGUUAGUGGGAAGCGCCCAGUGGCGAAGGGAAGAGUGUAUACCAUGGAUGGUGAAGAGGCUGAAGGAGCAGAUGGAUUGAUCAGAGGAGAAUGUGAAAUUGACGGUAAUCUUCUAACUAUACUCUUUGAUUCUAGUGCAACUCAUUCUUUUGUCUCUAAGGAUUGCGUAUCAAGACUGCAUCUGCCUAUUACUACUUUGAGCUUUGAUCUUAUGGUAACUACACCUGCUAGGACUCUAAUUGCUAAUGCCGCAUGCAUGCACUGUUCAGUAGUAUAUAAAGAUAGAACUUUUCAUGCCAACCUAGUAUGUCUACCCCUUAAAAACCUAGAUGUAAUCCUAGGGAUGGAUUGGUUAUCCCACUACCAUUGUCUUUUGGACUGUAGUCGAAAGAAAGUGGUGUUCCCAGACUCGGAUCUUUUCGAGUAUCUUUCUAUUAACCACAUUAGUGCAUCGUUGAGCGAGGGCACUCAGAAGUACUUUUCAUUGCUAAGUCUGGAGGGGAAGAAGGAAUCGGAUAUUCAUGGUAUUCCGGUGGUUCGAGAUUUUGCGGAUGUUUUUCCUGGAGAUGUACCUGGACUACCGCCUGUACGCGAUGUAGAGUUUGUGAUCGACAUUGUACCCGGAACUGGACCGAUUUCGAUUGCACCUUACCGUAUGGCACCUGCGGAGUUAGUAGAGUUGAAAUCUCAGUUGGAGGAUCUUUCGGCAAAAGGAUUCAUUCGACCAAGUGUUUCACCGUGGGGAGCGCCAGUGCUUCUAGUUAAGAAGAAAGACGGAAGGUCGAGAUUGUGUGUGGAUUAUCGACAGCUGAACAAGGCGACGAUCAAGAACCGAUACCCGUUGCCGAGGAUAGAUGAUUUGAUGGAUCAAUUACGAGGGGCUGCCGUAUUUUCCAAGAUAGACUUGAAGUCAGGCUACCAUCAGAUCAGAGUGAAGACUGAGGAUAUACCAAAGACUGCAUUCAGAACACGCUACGGACACUAUGAGUACCUAGUGAUGCCGUUUGGAGUGACAAAUGCACCUGCCGUUUUCAUGGAUUACAUGAACCGUAUCUUCCAUGAGUUCUUAGAUCGGUUUGUGGUGGUGUUUAUUGAUGACAUAUUGAUCUACUCGAAGGACGCAAAGGAACAUGAAGGACUUUUGCGCCAAGUUUUACAAGUGUUGAGAGAGAAGAAGCUGUAUGCGAACCCUUCCAAGUGCGAAUUCUAGCUGGAGGAAGUUAAUUUCUUAGGCCAUGUUAUCUCAAAGGAAGGUAUAGCUGUGGAUCCAGCGAAAGUGGAGACUGUUUUGGCUUGGGAGCAACCGAAGACAGUGACAGAAAUCAGAAGUUUUGUGGGUUUAGCUGGAUAUUAUAGACACUUCAUUGAGGGAUUUGCCAAGAUUGUUGGACCUUUGACUCAAUUGACGAGGAAGGAUCAACCUUUUGCAUGGACCGAGGUGUGUGAAUCAAGUUUUCAGACUUUGAAGGAACGGUUGACGACGUCACCUGUGCUUAUUUUGCCACAACCGGAGGAACCUUAUGAGGUUUAUUGUGAUGCUUCGUAUCAAGGCUUGGGAUGUGUGCUGAUGCAACAUCGAAAAGUGGUGGCUUAUGCUUCGAGACAGUUGAAGACUCAUGAGAAGAACUAUCCGACUCACGAUUUGGAGUUAGCUGCCAUUGUGUUUUCGCUGAAAAUCUGGAGGCAUUAUCUCUAUGGUUGUACUUUCACAAAAUUUAGCGAUCACAAGAGCCUUAAAUACUUGUUUGAUCAGAAGGAGCUGAACAUGAGACAACGAAGAUGGAUGGAGUUCAUCAAAGACUACGAGUUUACGUUGCAAUAUCACCCUGGGAAGGCGAAUGUAGUUGCUGAUGCUUUGAGCAGAAAGAUGCAUGUCUCGUCAAUGAUGGUUAAAGAGCUGGAGUUACUGGAACAAUUUCGAGAUAUGAGCUUAGGUGUGACACCGUCUGAGGGAAAGUUGAAAUUCGGAAUGAUCAGAAUUGCCAGUGGACUGAUGGAAGAGAUUAGAGGAAAACAACUGCAAGAUGGCUAGAGAAGAGGAACUUAGUAAUUCAAGGGAAAGACCCGGAAUUCAAGUUAGGAACUGAUGAUAUCUUAAGAUGCAAGGACAGAGUUUGUGUACCCAAUAAUCCGGAAUUGAGAAGACUGAUCAUGGAUGAAGGACACAAGAGCAAAUGGAGUAUUCAUCCGGGAAUGACAAAGAUGUAUCAAGAUUUAAAACUGAAUUUCUGGUGGCCAGGAAUGAAGAAACAAGUGGCUGAGUAUGUAGCUGCAUGUUUGACUUGUCAGAAGGCGAAGGUAGAGCAUCAAAGACCUGCUGGUAUGCUACAGAGUUUAGACGUGCCAGAGUGGAAAUGGGAUAGUAUAUCUAUGGAUUUUGUGGUAGCUUUGCCAAGAACACAGAAGAGACACGAUUCGAUUUGGGUGAUUGUGGAUCGUUUGACCAAGUCAGCGCAUUUUCUACCAGUGAGAACUUUCUACAAUGUGGAAAAGUUGGCUGAGAUUUAUGUGGCGGAGAUUGUGAGACUACACGGAGUUCCAACAAGUAUUGUGUCUGAUCGGGAUCCAAAGUUUACUUCGCACUUUUGGGGAGCUCUUCAUGAUGCGUUAGGAACCAAGUUGAGGUUGAGUUCGGCGUAUCAUCCACAAACUGAUGGACAAACAGAGAGAAGUAUUCAGUCGCUAGAGGAUCUACUACGGGCUUGUGUGUUAGAUAACAGAGGAAGCUGGGAUGAUCUUCUGCCAUUGAUUGAAUUCACCUACAACAAUAGUUUUCAUGCGAGCAUUGGGAUGGCACCGUAUGAAGCUUUGUAUGGUCGAAAGUGUAGGACACCGUUGUGUUGGUAUCAAGAUGGAGAGAGUUUGUUGAUUGGGCCGGAAAUGCUGCAACAGACGACUGAGAAGGUUAAGCAGAUCAGAGAACAGAUGAGAGCUUCACAGAGCAGACAGAAGAGUUAUGCUGAUCAGAGACGUAGAACCCUAGAGUUUGAGGAAGGUGAUCAUGUGUUUCUACGAGUUACUCAGACUACGGGGGUUGGACGAGCUAUUAAGUCAAGGAAGCUCACGCCAAAGUUCAUUGGGCCUUAUCAAAUCACUCGACGUGUUGGACCAGUUGCAUAUUAGAUUGCACUACCACCAUUUCUUUCCAACAUGCAUGAUGUAUUUCAUGUGUCGCAGUUGAGGAAGUACAUUCCAGAUCCGACUCAUGUAAUCGAGCCAGACAAUGUUGAACUGAAGGAUGAUUUGACCUUUGAGGCACCGCCAGUGAGUAUUGGGGAUAGAAGAGUAAAACAGCUGAGGGGAAAGCAGAUUUCGUUGGUAAAGGUGAUAUGGAACAAGGAUACGGGGGACGCUACAUGGGAAUUGGAAGAUAAGAUUAAGGAACUGUACCCCGGACUUUUUGCUGAACUCUGAGUUUCGAGGACGAAACUUUCUUUUUGGAGGGGAGUAUUGUAAGACCUGAAUUUUCAGAACAAGUUAAUUUCCCACUCACGCGUAGAAUCAGUGUAAGCGUGACAAGAGUUUGAUAUUUGAGAAAGAUUAAUGAAGAAGAAAGUUCAGGAAUUCCUUGAGGAAUGUUGAGUAGUUGCUUUCGGAGUUAGUACGAGUCGUCUGCACACCUGCCUUAUGGCGAGCGUGUCCAGAAUAGGCUAAUUUCGCUUUAGAGCAACGUUUUAAGUGAGAUUUCGAAUCCUUGGAAAAUUUAAAGAUUCUCUUUAUUUUUCCUUCGACCAGCGUUUCAUUUCGGAACUCUGGACUGUACGCACGAUAGUAUUCACUUUUCGGAAGUCCGCCGACGCUAAUUUCUUUGCUUCGAAACCCUAGAUUCGAGCGAUGGAUGAAGAAUUUUUCUAUUCGGGACUUCUAACGAAGUUUCCGUCCGCGUUGCCAGAUUUGUUUCGAGUACAAAGUUUUGUCGUUUGAGCAUCACAGCAAAAAGUAGUUUUUCGGGACAGACUAAUUUACACCGCCUUUGGGAUUUUAGAUAUCGUUUUUCCCAAAUCAUAGAUAUCUGUUUUGAGUUCUGGAAUUCUGACGCCAGAAUCUCUCUUAGAAUUCCUCGGUGAACGUGCUGCAAAAAUCGGAAUCGCGAAAUUUUUAUUUUCCCGCGAUUUCACCUACCUAUAAAUUGCUCGAAAAUCAAAAAUAUCUUCAUUUCCACACCAUCAAAGCCGCGAGUUUGAGGAGAGCUUGGGGGAGAAGAUUUUUUCGCGAAAACUUGACUGAUCUUCGUGCAGUUCGUCCCUACUUCUAGGUAUUGAGGUAACUAGCAUGAUUCCUACCUCUGAUUACUGUUUCUGUUGCGUUUCUGAAGUCGUUUCUGUGCUCACAGUUUUGAGCUUUUUCUAAAAUUGUUCGAUUUCUCUGAUUUCUUGGUUGGGGUUUGUUCUCUAGGUUCCCAAGAGCCUAAAACCUCUGUCAGUAAUCGCUGAUUGUGAUCCAGUUGACAGGGAUCUGAAAAACUGAUUCAAAACCCUUUUUGUCUCACAUUUCGAAACUUUAUUGUCGAAAAGCUGUAAUCUGACUUCGUGCCUUUAGGAUUUGUUGUCACGGAUGUCGUUAGGAUCAAUGCUGUCAAAUUUGUUUUCCGAACUGAUAACUUUGAGGUUUUGAGCUUUUAUUUUGGACCAAAAGGCCCCUGGAUAGCCGUAUUUCGACCCGAUUGUCCGAAAAUUGUUCCGACAGUUUCUUUGCCUUAGUUUUACCCUAAAACUACCUUGUGAAUUGAUUUGAUCGAAGAAAAAGAGCCGAAGCCCUUUUUCCUUAAGGGCCGUGGGCUAUUCCUUUAGGGGGGGAGUUUUUCGUUUUCGAAAACUUGUCUUUUCGUACCCGAUUGUCGUAUUCUGAAGCUUUAAUGCUUUGUCUAUCGUUUAUGUAUUGUAUUGCGAUCGAACUAAUCGAUUUUGUGUGGAUUCUGCUUUGUUGACUCCGAGGUUCAGUUGAAGGAACUUUGGAAGGUUCAGAGCACUUGAGUGAAGGAGCUUGUGAUUUCGAAGCUGGAUCAGCUCGAGGUUAGGGCAACUUACUAUAUUAGCUAUGAUUGCAUGAUAGGCGUCGAUAAAUUCGACUUAUGCUUUAUCUGAUGUUGUUUAUGAUGGUGAGUUGAUGUUAUGAUGCUUUUCCAUAACUUGUGAUGUUGUGCUGUUGUUGGAUUGUGCGUUUUGACGCAACUUCGGAGUGGAGAUUCAUUGAUCUGGUGAUCUUUGAUAUUUCGGGUUGGAUGAACAACCCUAGGCAAGUUCAAACGAGGGGUUUGAGACUUAGCCAUUUGUUGGUAUUCGUUGGUUUACUUAGACUUCCCCCGGAAAACUUCUU